rnacentral:rRNA from 1 species
UACGUAGGGACCGAGCGUUGUCCGGAAUCAUUGGGCGUAAAGAGCGUGUAGGCGGCUUGCUAAGUCUUGCGUGAAAUCUCGGGGCUCAACCCCGAGCGGUCGUGGGAAACUGGUUGGCUAGAGUGCGGGAGAGGAGAGUGGAAUUCCUGGUGUAGCGGUGAAAUGCGCAGAUAUCAGGAAGAACACCCGUGGCGAAGGCGGCUCUCUGGAACGCAACUGACGCUGAGACGCGAAAGCGUGGGGAGCAAACAGG